UGGGACCUUAGUAAACAUGAGGCCAACAGAGCCUUAAGAAGAACUUCCCCACUGGUGACACUCGAAUCUGGGAACCCUGAGACCAGGAAGCUAAGAAGCCAGCACUGGCCUGCUGGAUGAUGAGUACCACCCCUAUGCCUGCUGACAGCCAGCCGACCCCAGAUCUGAUGGGCUCCUGCCUGAGUGUGCCCAGAUGACACCAACUAGAGCAGAGUGUUUGAACUCACCAUAAGACUGACACACCACGUGCACCAGGGGAUAAGACUUCCAGAGGACUCGGUCACACCAGGAAGGCAAGUUGUACUUCAUCUGCAAAUCAAAGUCAUAGGCUUUAAAAAAUGCCUCUUAUUAUUAUUUUUUUAAUCAGUAAAAGAACAGAUUAACUGGUGGCCUCUGUAAUCCUCAAAUUCAUCGGCUGUUGGCUUUUUAUAGAAUUUCCCUGUAGGUGGCUUUAAACUUUUUUCACAUGGCUCAAGUCCAGACUCCACUGCCACGCCUUCUUCUUUAGACUAAGAUAACUCACCUUGCUGUAUUCCCUCACAUAUCCUCCUGACUACUUCAGUAUCCCUUGUAUCUUCACCUUCUCUUACUUUCUUUCUGACUCAGAUGAACCCCCACCUGUAUUUUCAGCUCAGUCUCUGCUCACUUUCUGCAGUCACUUACUUUAAUAACACACUUCAGCUUCCACCCCCAGUUCUAUUCAUCCAUCUGUCCACCUUUUCAUCUCCCCAUCUACCCAUCUUUACUCAUUCACCCAUCCAUCCAUCCACCUACCCACCUAUUCAUUCAUCCAUCCACCCAUCCACUUAUCUACCUAUUCAUUCAUCUAUCCAUCCACCCAUCCAUCCAACUACCUGUCCAUUUCAUCCAUCCACCCAUCCACCUAUUCAUCCACUCAUCCAUCCACCCACCCACCCAUCCAUCCACCCACCGACUAGCCAUCCAUCCAUCCACC
rnacentral:lncRNA from 10 species